UACGUAGGGGGCGAGCGUUGUCCGGAUUUAUUGGGCGUAAAGAGCGUGUAGGCGGCCAUGUAGGUCCGGUGUGAAAACUCGAGGCUUAACCUCGAGAUGUCAUCGGAAACCAUUUGGCUAGAGUCCGGAAGAGGAGAGUGGAAUUCCUGGUGUAGCGGUGAAAUGCGCAGAUAUCAGGAGGAACACCGGUGGCGAAGGCGGGUCUCUGGGCCGAUACUGACGUGAGGAGCGAAAGCGUGGGGGAGCGAACAGG
rnacentral:rRNA from 1 species